rnacentral:rRNA from 1 species
CCUACGGGUGGCAGCAGUGGGGAAUAUUGGACAAUGGGGGGAACCCUGAUCCAGCGACGCCGCGUGAGUGAAGAAGUAUUUCGGUUUGUAAAGCUCUAUCAGCAGGGAAGAGAAUGACGGUACCUGACUAAAAAGCCCCGGCUAACUCCGUGCCAGCAGCCGCGGUAAUACGUGGGGGGCACGCGUGAUCCGGUUUUACGGGGGGUAAAGGGAGCGUGGCGGGGGGAGCAAGUCUGAUGUGAAAGGUCGGGGCCCACCCCCGGGACUGCAUUGGAAACUGUUGAACUGGAGUACAGGGGAGGUAAGGGGAAUUCCUGGUGAAGCGGUGAAAUGGGUAGAAAUUAGGAGGAACCCAGGUGGCGAAGGCGGCUUACUGGACGGUAACUGAGGUUGGGGGUCGAAAGCGUGGGAAGCAACCAGGAUUGGAUACCCUGGUAGU